rnacentral:rRNA from 1 species
GACGAACGCUGGCGGCGUGCCUAAUACAUGCAAGUCGAGCGGACGAUUCGAAAGCUUUCUCUUGAGUCGUUAGCGGCGGACGGGUGAGUAACACGUGGGCAACCUGCCCUGUAGACGGGGAUAACACCGAGAAAUCGUUGCUAAUACCGGAUAACACGAAAUGUCGCAUGACGCUUCGUUGAAAGUCGGCGCAAGCUGUCGCUACAGGAUGGCCCCGCGGCGCAUCAGCUAGGUGGUGAGGUAACGGCACACCACGGCGACGAUGCGAAGCCGGCCUGAGGGGGAGGUCGGCCACACGGGGAGUGAGACACGGCCGAGACACCGACGGGAGGAAGCGGUAGGGAAUCUUCCGCGAUGGAGGAAAGGCUAACGGAGCAACGCCGCGUGAGGGAAGAAGGCCUAAGGGUCGUAAAGCUAUGUUGUUAGGGAAGAACAAGUAACGCAGUAACUGGCGUUAUAGUGACGGUACCGAGCGAGAAAGCCACGGCUAACUACGUG